UCAUCCAUGGCUGUUUUGGUACUACAAGGACAGACAUAAGUAGUUGCAACAGAGACAGGAUGGCCCACAAAGCCCAAAAUAUUUACUAUCUGACAUUUUACAGGACAAGUUUGCUGAUUCCUUUUAAGAGCAUUGGCUUGAGUCCCAGCUCCAAGCUACUAGCUGUGUGACCUUGAGAAAGUCAUAUUACCUCUCUGAGUUUUAAUUUUCUCAGCAACCAAAUGGAAAGAGUAACACAACUUUCCUCAUAUGGUUGUUUAAGGAUUUAAUGAGGUCAAAUGCUUUGCACAUUGCCUGGCACAUAGAAUAUGAUUAAUAAAUCAUAGCUAUUAUUAACAAGCUAGUACUAUAAAUCAUGAAUAACAAUAAUAAAAUAAACCAUCUUUUGUGUCUUGGGCAGUAGGAACUUUCCUGGGGCCUGACAGUAAGUUUUCUUCCUUUGUCACACUGGAUGCUCUGGCAGUCCAUAAGGAAACGUGUUUAUCUUGAAAGCACCUGGCAGAGACAGCAUGGAUGGGGCUGAGCUGGUAGAAAGACCCCAUUUCUCAAACACAGCUUUCUACAUGGAAUUAUUCAAAGGGAAACCUUAUCAAGCAAGCCUUCCAUCUGGGUGUCAUCCAUCUUCUAAAGAUCUCAUCUGGUCGAUGCUGUGGUCCUGGGAGAGAGACAUUACCAUCCUUACUUCACAGAUGAGAUGCUGAAGCUGGGAGGUGGUUCCUCAUCUUGUGCCUAGAUUAAGAAGGCCAAGGCAAGCACUCCUAUCUUAAUGAGAUGCACCUGUCCCUGGGGCUGUCUCUGACAAACUGGUCUUGGCUCUUUUCUCUUUGCUACCUUAUUCUAAACAUGCCACUAUAAUGUUCAUAUGGGUAGGACCUUGUUUUCUCAUUUAUAAUCGCAUUCCCAGAACCAGGCCUAACAUGUAGUAGGUGUUUAUUAAAUUAUGUUUUAA